rnacentral:rRNA from 1 species
GACGAACGCUGGCGGCGUGCUUAACACAUGCAAGUCGAACAGUGGCGAACGGGUGAGUAACACGUGAGUAACCUGCCCUCCACUUUGGGAUAACUCCGAGAAAUCGGGGCUAAUACUGGAUCGUGGGGGAUGGGCUCGGGGCCUAUCAGUUUGUUGGUGAGGUAGUGGUCACCAAGGCGUGACGGGUAGCCGGCCUGAGAGGGCGACCGGCCCCACUGGGAAUGAGACACGGGCCAGACUGCUACGGGGGGCAGGGGUGGGGAAUAUUGCACAAUGGGCGAAAGGCGGGUGCAGGGACGUCGCGUGGGAGAUGACGGCCUUCGGGUUGUAAACCUCUUUCAGCAAGGAAGCGGUACUUGCAGAAGAAGCGCCGGCUAACUACGUGCCAGCAGCCGCGGUAAUUC